rnacentral:rRNA from 1 species
AUGGCGGACCGAGCGGAGUCGUCGUCGUCGAGCGGGACAGGGAAGAAUCUCGAGGAACUGCUGCAACACCUGGAUCUCCAGGAUGACGAACUUGAUGGUGUGGUCGUAGGGGAGGAGGAGGUAAAGAAGUUCGAAGCAGAUGCCAGGUGGCUGGCGAUCGGGAAAGUGAACACUACUCGCAUCUUCAGUUCAUCAGCGAUGUUUGAGUGCAUGAAAUCCAUCUGGUCACUGGCGCACGUGCCGAAGUACAGAGAGGCGGGAGAAAAUCUGUUUAUCUUCCAGAUGUUCUGUCUGGGGGAUUGGAAGAGGGUGGUGCACGGAGGGCCAUGGCUUUUUAGGGGGAUGGGGAUGCUGAUCGAGGAUUACGAUGGGAAGAAGGAACCAACAUCUUUUGAUUUUGAUGGAUUAUACGUGUGGGUUCAGAUCCAUAACAUACCAGAACUCUACCGCAAAGCGGAGGUUGUUGAUCAACUCGCCCGCCGCAUUGGAAGGGUGAAAGAAGUCCAGCUUGCUCCUCGUUUGUAUUAUGAGGGAGAUUAUGUUAGGGUUCGAGCUAGGGUCCUUGUCAGCAAACCUCUCACACGGGUUACGCCUCUGAAUGUUGUAGGAGAGGGAAGACUCCGCCUCCCGGUGAAGUAUGAGAAGAUCCCCUAUUUCUGUAAGGUUUGUGGCUUCAUGGGUCACAACCACAAGGAGUGCGGUGAUGGUGUUUGGGAGGAGAAGGAUAAGCAGUGGGGCAGCUGGAUGUUGGCACAAAGAAGGGAGGUUGCACCAGAGCAGCAAGAAGAGGAUGAUGUUAUUAGCCCUCUGAAGACUGGGGCUGAGAGGCAGGAGACGCCCAUCGCUGAAACUGCUAGGAGAAACCUGAAUCUUGUCUUGUCGGACAGCUCGGCUACUGCGGAGGAUUUGAUGAGGAGCAAGGCAACAGAUAUUGCUGACACCACUUUGGCCGUCCCACCACCACCUCCUGCUUAUGUCUCACCAAGGGAUGCCAAGAAAGCAAAGAAGACAGGAUUGCUGGCAGCGACAAAACAACAACGUACAGGUUGGCUGGAGCAUAAUGGCGGUCACUCCAACGUCACAGCUGAUAGUCGUUCAUGGGCCAGACUUUGGGGCGCAGCGGUUCCCUCAAAAGUAUGUGUCUUUGCAUGGAGACUUGCCAAAACCUCUAUACCCACGGGGGAUGUUCGACAACACAGAAGCAUGGCCGACUCCGCUGAAUGCUCUAUCUGUCACGCGGCGGUGGAUACGUGGCGUCACGCUCUUUUUGACUGCCAUAUGGCUCGGUGUGUUUGGGCUCUCGCUGAUGAAGAAAUCACUGAAACAAUCAUCUCUAAUCGGACGGACGAUGCUAAGCUAUGUAUGUUUUGGUUAGUGGAUACCCUUCCCACGGUGGACCUGGCGCGGGUGCUUGUCACGAUGUGGGCAAUCUGGUGGGCGAGACGCCGAGCUAUCCAUGACGAGCAGUUCCAGAGCCCCCUCAGUACCCAUGUUUUCAUCACCAAAUUCAUGGCGGAGCAUGAUCAAAUCCCAGAGAAGGGGGCGCACACGAAGGACCUGCAUGCGCAAUCGAAGGACUUGCAUGCAAUAUCCAGGGGCAUGCGCGCAAUGCCCAGGGACCCACAUGUAACUACGGGCGCAGGACAGCCGAUGCGGUCUGCAUGGCUACCGCCAGAACUGCACGAUACCAAGAUCAAUGCUGAUGGAGGCUUCUCCAAGAUUGGCGACAAGGGCGCUUCCGCAGUAGUGUGUCGAGACAGAAACGGGAACUACCUUGGGGCUUCAGCGAUCAUUGUCGAAGGCCUCCUGGAUCCGGUGAUACUCGAAGCACAAGCGUGUAGUGAGGCGCUAGCGCUCGCUACAGACUUACAAGUCCAGUCCAUAUGUGUGGCCACAGAUUGCCUAGAAGUGGUGACAAGGAUCAAGGAUGACUCCCCAUGCAAGUUUUUCCUAAUUCUGCAAGAUAUCAAGCACCAGAGAAGAGCUUUCAGGGCAGUAGAGUUUAUCCAUGAGAGUAGAAACAUAAUGAAGAGGCUCAUGCUUUAG